UAUGUUCACUCAUCUACUAUCAAGAGAGGUUUUCUCACAUCCAUCCAGUAUAGAAAAAGAGUUUAGUACAAGAAUGUCAUAUUUACUUUGAUAUGCUGCCACUGUAAACCUUUCAACAUUUUCAAAGGACACUCCAUAUGCAUGGAAUGCCCUUCCCUAAGCAACUCUGAACAGUUUCCCAAGAUAGAUAAGGUAAAGGGGCUACUGGAAAUUGAACAUAAAGGUUCAUGGGGAAAGCUGCAAGCCAUAAAGAUGAGAUCCCAGGAUACCUGGUUCCCCUAUAAUGGACAUUGACUUACUAACUCUGGACUGAUGCUGAAAGAUUCAUCUGUAACUAUAAAGCUCAACAACUCUAGAAAUCUGAUCACAGAACUUUACUCAUGUCUGUGGGUUUUUUUAAAAUUCCUAUAGCCAAUUUCAACUCACUUUCCGUUUUCUCAAAAAACCUGUUCGAUUUUAGAUACUAGUGUUUUGGAUGGUGUUAUAAAAGACUGGAAUAGCCUUCCUUUCUGACUUCUUGUU